UAGCUAAUGUUAGCAUCAGGUAAAGUGCAUAAACUGGGCUUGUGUAAUGUUUGCCUGUCUUUAUGUUAAAUCCGUUAACUAGUGCACCUUUGUCGAGUUGCAUUAAGCGUGGCAAAAUACCAAAUGUAUAUGAUAGAAAUAAAUGUUAAGAAACUGUUACCUUCGUGUGUGUACUAACUAGCAGCGAUGCUAAGGUGGGGAAACACACCGGACCGCUGCGCUACAGUGAUUACGUCCAUGUUGAUCUACACCACACAUGUCACGUGACUGUACAAUCAUAUUAUUUAUUUCCCGAGCACAUAAUCAGUGCUGUAGAUGAGGGGAGGCAAUGUAACAUCGAAAUAUAUAUUUUCUUCUAGAUGCAAAAUGGAAAACCAAACUGGUAGAUCACAGGCAGUAUGACCAGCAGAGGGUAAUUGAAGCAGGGCAGCACUUAUUGGCAUUACUCAACAGAGCAAUUCCUCAAGCUCCUAGAGAGGGUCAGAACUUGAGAGUGGAGAGACCACCAAGUGUUGGGUCAGAGAUGGUCAGAUCAUUCCUUGGCUUUUUUAAAAAGGUGGCAAAAGGAGAAAUGAUCUGAUGAGGCCCAACAGUACAUCCAAAUUUGCAAAAAUUUGGAAGCCACCGGAAGUAACUUUUUUUUUGUUAGCUUCAAAAAAUGACACCGUCCCUAUCUCUUCUGUUGAGCUGGAACAUUUGCAAGCAGGACUUGGGAAACGGACUUUGUCCAUCACCUCUGAUCUGACGCAUGCAGAGGUGAUCAGAAUUUAAGCAGCUGUGUUUUGCUUUCAAUUGGUUCUUUUAGGGGGGAAAAGUCCUGUAUAUGCUGUUGUCUUAACAUUUUCCAUAUCUAUACAUAAAAUUGUUACUGUUGACAUGAGUUAUUUAACACCAAGUUUUUAUAUAUAGUUAUCCUGUUUAUUGAGAACUACCUACCCUAAGAUGCUGGAUCUAGAGGACAGAUGGUUGAUAGUGUUGGAGUUAUCCCUAAACUCCUGCGUGUUCAUUUCUUUGGUAAAGCUAAGACCUCCUAUACUGUUACUAAUAAAACAAAGUAAUAAAAGAAACACGGAGACUGCAGUCUUUAGAUGCCUGUA